AUUGAACGCUGGCGGCAGGCCUAACACAUGCAAGUCGAGCGGAUGAAGGGAGCUUGCUCCUGGAUUCAGCGGCGGACGGGUGAGUAAUGCCUAGGAAUCUGCCUGGUAGUGGGGGAUAACGUCCGGAAACGGGCGCUAAUACCGCAUACGUCCUGAGGGGGAAGGGGGGGAUCUUUGGACCUUCCGGCUUUAGGAGAAGCUAGGUCGGAUUAGCUAGUUGGUGGGGUAAAGGCCUACCAAGGCGACGAUCCGUAACUGGUCUGAGAGGAUGAUCAGUCACACUGGAACUGAGACACGGUCCAGACUCCUACGGGAGGCAGCAGUGGGGAAUAUUGGACAAUGGGCGAAAGCCUGAUCCAGCCAUGCCGCGUGUGUGAAGAAGGUCUUCGGAUUGUAAAGCACUUUAAGUUGGGAGGAAGGGCAGUAAGUUAAUACCUUGCUGUUUUGACGUUACCAACAGAAUAAGCACCGGCUAACUUCGUG
rnacentral:rRNA from 1 species